rnacentral:lncRNA from 1 species
CCUGCAUGUCCCACGGUACCUGCUGCUCUGCACUUCUUGACCCCUCUCUCAGCUGCAGUUUUCCAGGACUCCAGCACAGCAAAGCAGGUAGCUGGAUCAUGGCAAUUUUGCUGCCUCUGGUAAUUCGCCACCCUGGGUAAUCACCUAAUUUAUUGCGCCUGGUGCUGGUCCUAGAGUAACAGCCUUUGUCUCUGGGGGGAUUGCUACCACCACAAGGCAACUGUUUGGGUUGUACCUGUACUCAGUCUCUUACGUGAUGUAGCGGUGCAGUAGCAUGGGACAAGUGGCUCUGCUAGCUGGUGGGUCCAUUGCUUUAUUAAAUUUCUGGUUCCCCUUUAAAAUUAGGUGAAGUAUAUUGUCUUCCUGAAAAGUCUUAAGUCCCGUACUUGGUAUAUACUUAGUAUAUACCUAGUGAUUUUGAAACAACAACAACGAAAUGCUUAAUUUGCCAAUGUUCUACAAUGUUGUUGCCAAGAUUGGAAGAGCGAUAAAGAUUACUUGAUUAAUUUGUUGCUAUAUUAGAGACAGGCUGAAAUCUCCAGCUGUGCAAUGCAGGAACAUUUUGAAGCAGGAAAUAACAGGUAUGAAUAUAACCUGACUGUAUGGUUGUUCUGUAUGGGGGCAUACAGUCGCAGAAGGUGAGGAGCCCAUAUCUGAUUGUCUAAUGUGCUCAUACCACCAGGGACAAGACAACAGCAUUCCUGUGCUUGAGUGGACAUUCAGAAUACUCAAGGAAUGUAUCGGACCAGAAUGAAGGCAGGUGCUUUUAAUACAGAAGGAGCUUCUGCCUCUGGAGGAAACCCCCCUUCCCCUCUCCUGCUGCUUAUGAAGUAUUGUUGCCUCUCUGAUGCCAUCCCAUCCCUUACUUCUGCUUAGAAGAUACUAGUGAAAAUUGUCACUAAGAAGCCAUGGUGUAAAACUCAUUUGGUUUUCUAGGCUUAUUCCUGGAAGGUAGGUGAAUAAUUAAAAACCCAGUCAUCGUUGCUCCUUG